rnacentral:rRNA from 1 species
UACGUAGGGACCAAGCGUUGUUCGGAUUUACUGGGCGUAAAGGGCGCGUAGGCGGCGUGGUAAGUCACUUGUGAAAAUCUCUGAGCUUAACUCAGAACGGCCAAGUGAUACUGCUGUGCUAGAGUGCAGAAGGGGCAAUCGGAAUUCUUGGUGUAGCGGUGAAAUGCGUAGAUAUCAAGAGGAACACCUGAGGUGAAGACGGGUUGCUAGGCUGACACUGACGCUGAGGCGCGGAAAGCCAGGGGAGCAAACGGG